GUCAGGUGUGUGUGUGUGUGUGUUCAUUUACCUGUGUACUACCUGUAAAUACCGGCCCAACUCGUUUAUACAGUAUCUCUUAACAUAAUUAUGAGCUAAAAGUCCUGUCCAUGUAACUUUCAGAAGAGAGCCGAGAGGAACCACAAGAACGUUCGCUCAGCAAAUAUUUACGGAGAGCCCGGGUGCUAGGCAUUGUGCAAAACGCUGGGGGCACACUUCAGGCAAAAGUAGGCUGGUCCCUGCCAUUUGGAAGCUUACAGUCUAGCGGAGGACAAACGUUAACACACCAAAAUGUGAAAUUGAAGCUGUUACAAGAUCCACAAAGGAAGGGAACCUGUGCCGUGAAAUACGAUUCUGGAGGCACAGCGAGGAGGCCAGUCCUCAGUAAAGGCUGGGUUGUCACGGUAACCACAUACUCUGUCACUGGAUACUUGAUAACUAUUUUAGAAAAAAGGUAAAAACCUCACGACUUCACCUUGUACAAAUAAAAGCGGGCUGGAGGGAAGAAACGAUGGAAACAACUAAUGGAAGAAAGAGACCCAAGGAAAGAAAAAAAAAGGCAUCAGGAGACUCUUGCCAACUAUGUGAGCUUGAACCAGCCAGAAGAACUUUGAAGGGGAGAAGAGAAAAUUUUCCUCCCCAACAGUUGGUAGAGUCAGCAGGACCAACUUUACAGGCUGGCACUCUGCUUGCUCUGGGACUGCUGCCUCUGAGAGAUCCUGGGACAUAUGACAAAAGCUGGCAGAAGAGAGAUUCAUGGAAUCUCAUGGAAAGAACUCUGACACCUUGUACUCCAGAAUACAGGUUUCUGAUAAACUUUCAGAUCACACCAUUGAACUAGGCCUAACUUUGGGAAUUCAGCUGCAUCACCACCUCCUGAAAUGAGACACAACUGUUUAACUGAACUGACCUAUUCUCAGGACUGAGUGACUAUUUCAAUGACAUGGAGCAAUCUAUCACCUUAGCUUCUGGACUGUGAAACUUCUUGGGGGAAGUUUCAAAGCUUGACAUCCUCUCAAACGCUACCUGACAGACUGCCACG